UACGUAGGGACCGAGCGUUGUCCGGAAUCAUUGGGCGUAAAGAGCGUGUAGGCGGCCACUUAAGUCCUGCGUGAAAUCUUGCGGCUCAACCGCAAGCGGUCGUGGGAAACUGGGUGGCUAGAGUGCGGGAGAGGAGAGUGGAAUUCCUGGUGUAGCGGUGGAAUGCGCAGAUAUCAGGAAGAACACCGGUGGCGAAGGCGGUUCUCUGGGCAUGAUCUGACGCUGAGGAGCGAAAGUGUGGGGAGCGAACAGG
rnacentral:rRNA from 1 species